rnacentral:rRNA from 1 species
AGGGAAUCUUCCACAAUGGACGCAAGUCUGAUGGAGCAACGCCGCGUGAGUGAAGAAGGUUUUCGGACCGUAAAGCUCUGUUGUUGGUGAAGAAGGAUAGAGGUAGUAACUGGCCUUUAUUUGACGGUAAUCAACCAGAAAGUCACGGCUAACUACGUGCCAGCAGCCGCGGUAAUACGUAGGUGGCAAGCGUUGUCCGGAUUUAUUGGGCGUAAAGCGAGCGCAGGCGGAAGAAUAAGUCUGAUGUGAAAGCCCUCGGCUUAACCGAGGAAUUGCAUCGGAAACUGUUUUUCUUGAGUGCAGAAGAGGAGAGUAGAACUCCAUGUGUAGCGGUGGAAUGCGUAGAUAUAUGGAAGAAUACCAGUGGCGAAGGCGGCUCUCUGGUCUGCAACUGACGCUGAGGCUCGAAAGCAUGGGUAGCGAACAGGAUUAGAUACCCUGGUAGUCCAUGCCGUAAAACGAUGAGUGCUAAGUGUUGGGAGGCUUCCGCCUCUCAGUGCUGCAGCUAACGCAUUAAGCACUCCGCCUGGGGGAGUACGACCGCAAGGUUGAAAC